CCGGACCUGACUGCUAUCGGAUUGGUACUAAGCCAUGCGAGUCAUUGUAGCAAUACAAGGCGGACGGCUCAGUAACACGUAGUCAAUCUAACUCGUGGACGUGGAUAACCUCGGGAAACUGAGAAUAAACCACGAUAGAUCAUAGUGCCUGGAAUGGCUUAUGGUCCAAACAGUUUACUGCCAUGGGAUGGGACUGCGGCCUAUCAGCUUGUUGGUGAGGUAAUGGCCCACCAAGGCGAUUACAGGUACGGGCUCUGAGAGGAGAAGCCCGGAGAUGGGUACUGAGACACGGACCCAGGCCCUAUGGGGCGCAGCAGGCGAGAAACCUUAGCAAUGUGCGAAAGCACGACUGGGUCAGUCCGAGUGAUUCCUGAUAAAGGAGUCUUUUGCUUGUCCUAAAAACACAGGUGAAUAAGGGGUGGGCAGGUCUGGUGUCAGCCGCCGCGGUAAUACCAGCACCUCGAGUGGUCAGGACGUUUAUUGGGCCUAAAGCAUCCGUAGCCGGCUUUGCAAGUCUUCGGUUAAAUCCACCUGCUCAGCAGAUGGGCCGCUGGAGAUACUACAGAGCUAGGGAGUGGGAGAGGCAGACGGUAUUCAGUGGGUAGGGGUAAAAUCCUCUGAUCCAUUGAGGACCACCAGUGGCGAAGGCGGUCUGCCAGAACACGUUCGACGGUGAGGGAUGAAAGCUGGGGGAGCAAACCGGAUUAGAUACCCGGGUAGUCCCAGCUGUAAACGAUGCAAACUCGGUGAUGCAUUGGCUUAUGGCCAAUGCAGUGCCGCAGGGAAGCCGUUAAGUUUGCCGCCUGGGAAGUACGGACGCAAGUCUGAAACUUAAAGGAAUUGGCGGGGGAGCACCACAAGGGGUGAAGCCUGCGGUUCAAUUGGAUUCAACGCCGG
rnacentral:rRNA from 1 species